rnacentral:tRNA from 1 species
GGGAGUGGAUCAUGACUGGUGUUGUGCUCGGUCUUCAAAGCCGAUGGAGUGUUGGUCGCCAAUGCUCGGUGGGUUCGAUUCCCAUGCACUCCCGCCA